rnacentral:rRNA from 1 species
UGGGGAAUUUUGGACAAUGGGCGAAAGCCUGAUCCAGCAAUGCCGCGUGUGUGAAGAAGGCCUUCGGGUUGUAAAGCACUUUUGUCCGGAAAGAAAUCCUUGGCUCUAAUACAGUCGGGGGAUGACGGUACCGGAAGAAUAAGCACCGGCUAACUACGUGCCAGCAGCCGCGGUAAUACGUAGGGUGCAAGCGUUAAUCGGAAUUACUGGGCGUAAAGCGUGCGCAGGCGGUUUUGUAAGACGGAUGUGAAAUCCCCGGGCUUAACCUGGGAACUGCAUUCGUGACUGCAAGGCUAGAGUAUGGCAGAGGGGGGUAGAAUUCCACGUGUAGCAGUGAAAUGCGUAGAGAUGUGGAGGAAUACCGAUGGCGAAGGCAGCCCCCUGGGCCAAAUACUGACGCUCAUGCACGAAAGCGUGGGGAGCAAACAGGAUUAGAUACCCUGGUAGUCCACGCCCUAAACGAUGUCAACUAGUUGUUGGGGAUUCAUUUCCUUAGUAACGUAGCUAACGCGUGAAGUUGACCGCCUGGGGAGUACGGUCGCAAGAUUAAAACUUAAAUGAAUUGAC